CUUCAGUUGCCGUCCUCAUCCGGAAUGAAUGACACGAAAAGCCCACUGGGUCCUGACUAUACACUAUAAACGCACUGCGAAGAACAGAUGCAAAUUGAUAACGUGUAAGUGGAGACUGAUCCUCAGGGACCAAAAGUGAGACUACACCCGACGGCUAAACUGCGAAAAACUACCGAAACAAAUCGAACCAGACAAAAAACCAACACCCCCAAACAGCCUGAGCUGUUUUGAACCAUAAGUAUGGAAGGAAGUGAAGUGUAAUAAAUUAAUGUUAUUACACUUUCUAAAUA